rnacentral:lncRNA from 1 species
GGGCCCUGGGGGAGGGAGAUGGAGGCAGCAGUGGGACACCUACUCACCGCCAGAACUUUCUGACAGAGGCAGAAGCAGCCAGGCAGCUCCUGAACGGCCAGAAGAGGCUGCUGGCUCUCAGCCCGUGGAAGAUUUUGGCUGCACUGGGAUCGCUGGAGCAGAGUUACCGCCUGGGGAGCCGGCUGGAGUCGCUGGCCAGGACCGUGGCGCCUGCACAGGGAAAGAGUCCGGGGGAGGCGGCUCAGCGGGAGGAGGCGUGGGAGAGAAACCGGCCGCGUGGGCUGCCCGCGGGGCCAGGACCAGGACGUCCUGAGGGGAGGGUCCCUGACAGACCCCACCCCACCCCCCAAAUGUGGCUGUUCACCUCGGAGACCUGCUGCGGACAUGGGUACAGCCUGGAGCAGGACCUGCACCCUCUGCCGGAAUGUGGAGCCUCAAGUUGGGCAGCAAGAAGCAAUGGCCUGAGGACAACAACUGCCUGCAUAGAUUAACCACCACCAAGGAUUAACUGCCCUCUGUCCUGGGACUCGACCCGCCACCCUCCCCUGACUGUUCCCCCUCUUCAUUGUUCCUGCCACAAGUUCCUGCCACGGAUCCUUUAUAAGCCUAGCAUCUCCGAGCAGUCGGGGCUGGCGCCACCUUGACCUCAGCCCACCCGCUUCGGGUGCCUUAAUAAAUCUCUCCUCUUGCCUGACUUGGCCUUGUGCGUUNUCUUCAUUGUUCCUGCCACAAGUUCCCGCCACGGAUCCUUUAUAAGCCUAGCAUCUCCGAGCAGUCGGGGCUGGCGCCACCUUGACCUCAGCCCACCCGCUUCGGGUGCCUUAAUAAAUCUCUCCUCUUGCCUG